rnacentral:rRNA from 1 species
GCAAGGUUAAAACUCAAAUGAAUUGACGGGGACCCGCACAAGUAGUGGAGCAUGUGGUUUAAUUCGAAGAUACGCGCAGAACCUUACCAACACUUGACAUGUUCGUCGCGACUCUAAGAGAUUAGAGUUUUCGGUUCGGCCGGACGAAACACAGGUGCUGCAUGGCUGUCGUCAGCUCGUGUCGUGAGAUGUUGGGUUAAGUCCCGCAACGAGCGCAACCCUCACUUUUAGUUGCCAUCAUUAAGUUGGGCACUCUGAAAGAACUGCCAGUGAUAAGCUGGAGGAAGGUGGGGAUGACGUCAAGUCCUCAUGGCCCUUACGUGUUGGGCUACACACGUGCUACAAUGGCAUCUACAACAGGAAGCAAAACGGCAACGUUAAGCAAAUCCCGAAAAGAUGCCUCAGUUCGGAUUGCACUCUGCAACUCGAGUGCAUGAAGCUGGAAUUACUAGUAAUCGUGGAUCAGCGUGCCACGGUGAAUGCGUUCCCGGGUCUUGUACACACCGCCC